UACGUAGGGUGCGAGCGUUAAUCGGAAUUACUGGGCGUAAAGCGUGCGCAGGCGGUCUGUUUAAGACCGAUGUGAAAUCCCCGGGCUUAACCUGGGAACUGCAUUGGUGACUGGCAGGCUUUGAGUGUGGCAGAGGGAGGUAGAAUUCCACGUGUAGCAGUGAAAUGCGUAGAGAUGUGGAGGAAUACCGAUGGCGAAGGCAGGCCCCCUGGGAUAAGACUGACGCUCAUGCACGAAAGCGUGGGAGCAACAG
rnacentral:rRNA from 1 species